CCUGUAGGAACGUGUCAAAGAUGCCAAAGAAUUCAUCAGGCUGCAUCUUGCUGUCAUGCUCCCCGAAGUGUGUCAAGGCCCUGGAGAACUGCAGGGGCAAGGAAGAUGGAGUUCACAUGCCUGCAAAUGUAUGAAGCAUGAAGAAACAAAGCAACAGAAGCCCCAAAAUCUUUGCUGCAUGAAGUGUUGUCUGAAAACAGCAGCUGGUGGCGAUGUUGGUUUUAAGAAACAGACUUGCAAACCCCACCCCAGACUCUUUAAUAAGAGACUGACUGCAUUUCAAAAAGGCCCUCAGGUGAUUCCUGUGCAGAAUAAAGUCUGAGGUGAAUUUAUCAAUCUCCUAGUUGACAGGGGAUGGACUGAUCCCUUGGGCCACACUUUGGAUAAUGAUUUCACAUCCUAUAAAACUGGAAAUAGCCCCUUGGCCUCUGCCAUAGUUAAGACUGAAAUGCUCUUUCUCAUUUUUAAGCUCAGUCUCUAAGCCUCUUCUUCCCUGAACCUCCAUAUUUACCCACAUCACACCACAAAACACCAUACCACACCACACCACACCACAAAACACCAUACCACACCACAACACAACACACCACACCACACACAAUGAAGAACAAGAUGGGAAGGGCCUCUAGUUCCUAGGCAUGGGGGACAAUGGAUGAGUGAGUUCCCAUACUGAGCCAUACCAUCUGAGAAAUGCUCAGGGUAAGAGUGGUGACCAUAGUCCUAAAUCCCCAGUAAAGAGUCUCUAGGUUCCUCCUUGGCCCACAUGGAGAGGAAAUACAAGGAUCCUCUAAGAACAACUGUCUCCAAUGGUGUACUAUAUGCUACCUGUCCCUAUAUGACUUCCAGGGAAAUCUGGAUCCUUUUCUCUAUUCACUUGAAGCAAACUUAAGCACAUUGUGGAAGAUUAAUAGUUCAUUACAUACCACUAGCUAAAAGACAUACUGAAGAGUGAAUGGAUACAGUCUCAGACAGAGAGGGGAUGUCCCCUCUUCAAGAGUCUAAAUUUAAGCCCCAGACAAUCCAGUCAUUCAUUCUUAAGGGUUGGCAAAGUUGUAGGUACUCUGUCAAUUGUCUUAUGGCCAACCAAGAGCUUUGGGUCACAGAAACACAUCACCUGGCACAUGCUGCCUGGGUUCUAGUACCUGGCCCAGUGACAGGCAGUCACAAAGCCAAGUGGCACUAUGACAACAUCCCCUCCCCCACCCAUAGAGGAAAGGGUGAUGUACUCACCACCUCAACAGCUCUCAGCCCCUUUCUGAGGUUGCCCACCUCCUUCUCCAACUCUGCCAGGCUGUGGGGGGACAUGGAGAGAGGGGAGCUUAGGGUUAUUCAGGGAUGGAGGCAUACAAAACAUAAUGACUUGAGGAGUCACUCGCCAAUGCAGGGUAAGAACCUGGAGCUAUUAACACAUGGCCUAGGGAAAUGACCUUUCCUCCUCACUGUCUGUGCAUCUAUCAAAUCACAUUCUAUAGAUCCUUCCAGAUCAGAAACAUCUUGCCGUGUAUUAGAAAGUUUCGCAAACCCAGCCUCUGCUUUGAUUUGUUUGGCACCACCAGGUAAUA